UACGGAGGGGGCUAGCGUUGUUCGGAAUUACUGGGCGUAAAGGGCGCGUAGGCGGCGCGAUAAGUUGGGCGUGAAAGGCCCGGGCUCAACCCGGGGACUGCGCUUGAUACUGUCGCGCUGUGAGUCCGGGAGAGGAUGGCGGAAUUCCCAGUGUAGAGGUGAAAUUCGUAGAUAUUGGGAAGAACACCGGUGGCGAAGGCGGCCAUCUGGACCGGCACUGACGCUGAGGCGCGAAAGCUAGGGUAGCAAACGGG
rnacentral:rRNA from 1 species